ACCUUACCCACCCUCAUCACUCUCACUUCUAGUAACUUUCCACCAUUUUCAUUCACCUCUCAUUUUCUCUCUCCUCUUUCUUUUUAAUUCAUGUGGAAGUCGUACCCAAUCUCACAAGCUCAGCAAUGGGCUCUACGUUACGGGCCGGCCCGAUUCCCAACCCAAAGAAUGCCCACCAACAAUGGUUGCUCGUGCCGUACCCUACACUGGUGGCGACAUCAAGAAAUCCGGCGAACUUGGCAAGAUGUUCGACGUCACCACCACCACUACCCAGCUCAUCAAAUCAACUAUUUCAAGUAUUAAGCAUGCAACAGUAGAUUUAAACUGAAGGAAAGAUUGUUGUGUAUAUCGUGUAUAGGUAUUGAAUUUUGCGAGUUUUUUAGAACAAUUGUAAGGGUUGAUUGUGAAUUUUUUUUAUGUAUUGAGACUACUGUAAGUGAUUUGUGAGUUUUUUAGAAUAGUGAUUUGUAUGUUAAUUUUUAUUUUUUUUGUAAAGUUCAGUGAUUUGUGAAUUUCUUCUAACGUGAUUUUCUCAUUUAUUUCCUGAUAUAA